ACAUUAUCCAGCACGCACACCAUGAGUAUUUUUUUGAGUUCCAAGGAGUCAGAACUCAGCACUGCACAUCACCCACCCGCACAAGAUUUUCUAUGCUUCACGGACAGACUCUCUCUAUAAGCAUGCAUUUUUAUAUAGGACUGACACCAUAUUUCUAGCCAUGGUCGCAGUGGAAAUGUGCUCCAUGUUCUAUGAAAAUCAGGCACCUCUUUUCUCAGCUAAUAAUAUCACCGAUAUUCACCAAACACCUCAUUAAACACCACUUCUAAUGAUGACACCAGUGUUUUCAUAUAUCUUACGAGAACAAUGAAGCCUAUAACGAGCCCAAACAUCAAGCUCACAAUCAAGUCGACACGUCUUGACCAGGAUCGCAGCCGAUGAGAAGCCUAAUUUCUGUGUGAAGUUCCUUCAUGAAUUUAUCAAUUCUUAUUCAGUAUU